GCGGGGUUCGGGGGGCGGCGCUCGGCUGUGCCGCGUUUGCUCCCGCUGCGGCGUUCCGGGCUGCGCGCUGGGCAGCUCGCUUUUCGCUUCUCUUGGGUAGCGCAGAGCUCUGUCGGGGUGGCUCUGCGGAGGGGUCGAUCUGUGGCUGUUGGGGCUGUGUGUCGCGGGACAGCCUCAGGAUGAAACGGCGUCGGUUGGGAGCGGCUCGGCUCUGUGCUGUCCCUUCUUGGGCGGCGGGCCGUGCUGGGAGGGCGUGGCGGUUUUGUUUUCGGCUUCUACCAAGCCUAAGUUGCACGUGCGUGCUGCCCAACAUCUGGUGAAAGCUCUUGGCUUGUGUGUGUGCUUCAGAAGGAUUCAGGUGAAUUUUUUUUUCCCCCACUUGUCAGUCUGGGCUGACUUUGAAGAAGCUCCAGUGUGGGUUCCGGUUCCCUGAGCGGUGAGAACUCAGGGCUUGAUGCUGCUGAGGCUUUAAAGGCAGCCGAUGCCUCCCUUUUCCUGGGGGCUGUGGUUGUUUGUGUUGGUGGUCGCUUUUUGGUUGUUGUUGUUCGUUUGGUUUUGUUCCCCCGGUGAACUUAAUUCCUGAUCAAUUAACUUCUACCUCGGGUGUUUUGUAUGUGCUGUGAGGUGCCACAGGGUAAUUUCCCGGUGUUCGUUUCUGUUCCUCCCAGACAUCCAAGUCAAAUCAAGGCAAGCUUGGGCCGAGGAAAGCAUCCAGAGCUGAGUUUUUGUGUAUAAUGAGGGAAUUUCCCACAUGUGUGGGGAAGAGUUUAUGUGUUGGCAGAGAAAAGGCAUGGAGGCUUUCAGUUCACAGUGCAAUAGAACUUUGUUCAUCCUGAACAAAGCAGCACUGAAGUAAUAGUUACUGUAUGAUGCAAACUCCAGAGUAACCAGGAAUUGGUUUGGAUGUUCCAGAUGUGAACUGGUCAUGACUGGGAUCUAGUCGGACUCGCUGUUCAUUCAAAUAUUGUUUCCAUGUUGUGUCAGUCUGUCUAAAUUUGGUUUAGUUUUAAUUAACUAACAAUGUACAAUGGGCACGUGGCUUAUUUCUGGUUUUGAUUCAUUUCCAUCUUCACCUUCUUAAACUGGCUCUAGUUAACAUGGGAAGAGCAGAAGUUUCAAAUGCAAUUUGGAGUGCUGCUUCGGGUCUGAUAUGCAUUGCGGUUUCAAAAGAGUGAACGGAAUAAUUAUCUGGAAAUUAACUCUGAACUUUGGGGAAAUAAUACUCUGUGUGUAUAGAUAGCAGAUUGUACUCAGGCUGAGAACGUGUGCUGUUCAUGUGUGUCUUCUAAAAAUAUUUUCACAUGCAAAUUACAUAACCGUUGGCUGCAUGCUUCUAACCAGAUUGUCACUGCGAGGCUGAUGGUUCCUGAGAAACUGGAUGCAGAGUGGGAGAUACCAACUGAAAACUUCUGCUUGAAAGGUUUUGUUUUUCAGGGUUUGCUUGUACUGUUCUCUUCUUUUACCAAAACCAUAUGAAAUUAGAAUUUAAACACAUGAAAUGCCUUUUUGAGAAUGCAAGACUGAUACAGUAACUGACUAUAUGUAUACCUCUUUUUUCCCUGUUUAAUGCUUAAAUAUAUGGUUAAUAUUGUUAUAUACAUAUAGGAUGAGUUUACAGUCCUGACGAUUGCAAUUUUGAGAGUGAAUUUUGAGUUGUUUGUGUAUAAAAAGUCAAGAUUACUGCAAUUGUAAACCUUGCAUUUCAUGACUAACUUCAAGUCCACAAGUCAGAUUCUUGCAUUGCUGCUAGCUGAUGUUGAUAUGUACACACGGUAUGCCUGGCUCUUGCAUUCUGGUAUUGUAACCGGAGAAAGGGAGAUCUUUGUUAUGAAGUCAGUAGCCAAAAUAUGAGGCUGGGUUCAUGUGGUCACCUGCUGACCUGUUUAAAUCCUUUUCUCUGCAGUGGAAACCUCUUGUAAGAUAUUCUUAGGACUUUUUUUUCCUCUGACCUUUUGAAAAUAAAUUCUGUGUUGUUUCCCUACUACAGUGUGUAACCUGUGUAACCUUGACAAAGAGGAGAAGUUUAUUUGCUGCUGACAGUUAAAGGUGUGUUUUUUUUUCUUUUUAAUUUUCCCCACUCCAGCUCUUAACAGGAGCAUCUUUAGACUGUAGCAGAGAGAAAAACUAUCUUGAAUGGAACACCUUAAGCACAUUUUCUUAGUUUUCAUUGUGCUCUUUGAGUUACUUUGUCUCGCUGUCCUAUGGCUUGUAGGUUUCAAACUCUAAUGCAAUAUGGAGCAAUAAUCAAAACUUGGUAGCUUUGGGAUUUUCAGAACUGGAUUGCUUUCAGGAGUAUAACCCUGAUGCAGUGUAGCUUCAAUAUCAUGAAACCAGUGAUGUUUUCCAGUUGUGAUUGCUGUCCAUAGGAUGCUACCCCCAAUUUGGCUAUAUGCCUGCAUCACAGAAUCAUAGAAUCACAAAGAUUGGAAAAGACCUACAAGAUCAUCCAGUCCAACCAUCCACCUAUCACCAGUAGUUCUCACUAAACCGUGUCCCUCAACACAACGUCUGAAUAUUCCCUGAAUAGCUCCAGGGUCAGUGACUCCAUCACCUCCCUGGGCAGCCCAUUCCAGUGCCUGACCGCCCUUUCAGAGAAGUAGUAUUUCCUAAUGUCCAGCCUAAAUCUUCCCUGGUGCAUCUUGAGGCCGUUCCCUCUCAUCCUGUCACUGGUUAUGUGAGAGAAGAGUUCGACCCCCAGUUCACUACAACCUCCCUUCAGGAAGUUUCAGAGAGCAGGAAGGUCUCCCUUGAACAUCCUCUUCUCCAGACUGAACAAUCCCAGUUCUCUCAGCUUUUUGCCAUCAGACUUGUGCUCCAGAGCCCUCACAGCUCCACUGCUCCUCUCUGGACACACUCCAGGGCCUUGAUGUCUUUCUUGCAGAGAGAGGCCCAAAUUGAACGCAGUGCACAAUGGGGUUGUAUUGCUACUCUUAGUGCAGGUCAGCAUUAUGUAGAACAAAUAUUUUAACACUGAUGUAAGGAACUGACUUGAACUCAGUGUGAGGUAAUAUAACAUCAGUCCAAAUGAAGUUGGGUUUUGGUAAGCACAAAGAUCUUGGUUAACUUGUUUAUAACAAUGAGGACUUCAAAAAUGGUGUGGAAGUUUGGGGUUGUAUUGGUUAAAUGAUGUUCAAAAUAAUAAUUAAAAAAAAAAUUAGACAAGCAAAGUGUUCUGAAAUAAAUUGAAAAAAGCAUAGGUAAUAUUUAACAUCCAAACAAGAUGUGUUGGUUUCUAGUCUCAUAUUGUUUUUUUUGUGUGUGUUUAACUGAUGUUUCUCCUAAAGGCAGGUUUUAUUUAGGUCUCCCUUUCCCCUGAGUUCAGGUUUUGUACUGGUUUUUCUGUUCUUCUUCACAAAAGUCUGAGAUUUCUGAGAUGUAAUUUCUUUUCUCUUAGUUGUGAUUGUAUUUUUAAAUGAUUGACUCGUGACAGAAUUCCAAGACAUUGUAUCAGGAAGGUGAUUCAUGAGUUUUGAAAGCGGUGCUUUUCAGCAAUAACGUCUGAAGGCAGUGUUUUAUUGAGGGCAAAUGGGGAUGAUGCUGGUUUCUAUUGCUUCUCUUUUCUGUGUAUUGGUAAAAGGGAAAUCAAACUAUAUCUGUGCAAGCACACAGGGUUGGAUGUAACAUACCAUUCUUUUUAAAAGUACCCAAUUCUUUCAUUCUGUUUUCAGUUACUUUGGGAGUCUCCUGUUUUAAUUUCUUGAAAAUAUGCAAUAAUCAAAUGUAUUGAAAAGUCAAGUCCUUGUGACGCUUGGAAAGUUUCUGAAUAUCUUGCCAGCUGAACUUGGUUCAGAAGGUAGAAGUAUGAUGAAUAUUACUUGCCAUUCGAGACUUUUCCCAGGAAUACUUUUAGACACUCGUGCUAAAAUUUGUGUAGAUUUUGGCAACCAUUAUCUUGUGGUGGUCUUAUUUAAACUUGAUUAUUUUCUUUGCUCUCUACAAAUAAUUUCAAAAAUCAUCCUGUGAAAAGAUGCCAUUAAAAAUAGUUUUCCCAUCUCAUCUUCCUUGAAUUGCCAACAACUGUAUGCUUUCCCAAUUUCUCACAGAAUUGCACGAGUCUUGGAAGUUACAUUUUAAACUUGCUGGGGCUAAUUGUGUGUGAGCUCACAUCUGGCUGUAAGCAAAACCUUUCCUGAGCUUGAAUUGUCCCCUCGUUUUUGGACCGUAGGGUUUCCUGAGGUUUAAGCAUUAGGCUUAGCGUUAUGCACAUUUAGAAACAGUUGAUGAAUCAGAAUUCCUUUAUGUGGGGUUAACCAAACUGAAAACCUAUGAAGUGCUGUACAGAGGAGUUACGUAUCUGUUUUAUUUUCUGGUGGUGCUUAAAGGCUGCAUCACAAUUGAAUUUUGUUGUGGUUUUUGCUGUAAUACAUGUGGUUCUUCACCCUCAAAACCUGAAGACCAUCAUCCUUCUCAAAUAAAUAGAUAAAUUCCCAAACUGGUUGUGGAGUGGUGUGUUUUUUGUUUUUUUUUUUUUUUUUUGUGUAACUCUUGGCUCCUUUGCUGCUUGCAUGUGGGACAGAGAUGAGGGAGAAAGAAGGAAAAAUAUAUAUAUAUAUAUCUGUUACUUUCAAUACUUUUUUCCCCCCCGUGGUGCCUGAAAUAUCAGUAGUUCAACUUCUAGCUGUAACCAGAUUUUACUACUGCUUUUUUGCUGGUGUGUAUUUAUCACCCCUCUCAUUCUCAUGCAUUGCAACUUGCUGGCCUAAUUGGUUCUAAUUACAUGUCAUAGAAUCAUUAGUGCUGGAAAGGACCCUUAAAGGUCAUCUAGUCCAACUCCCCUGCAGCGAACAGGGACACCACACUAAGAUCAGGUUGCCCUGGGCCUGGUCCAGCCUGGUCUUGGAAGUCUCCAGGGAUGGGGCAUCCACCACAGUUGUUCCAGUGCUUCAGUACUCUUGUUCCAAAAGAAUUUUUCUUUGUAUCUAACCUAAAUGUGUCUUUUCUAAGCUUGAAUCCAUUUCCCCUUAUCACAAUAGACCCUGCUAAAGAGUCUGUCCCCUUUUUCUUACAGCCUCCCUUUACUGAAAGCCACUCCCAGGUCUCCCCCACAGCCUUCUCUUCUCCCGGCUGAACAGCCCUAGCUCUCUCAGCCUGUCCUACAGGAAUGUGUUCCAUCUCUUGGCUCAUUCUUGUGGCCCUCCUCUGGAUGCACUCCAACAGCUCCAUGUCUCUCCUGUAUUGAGGACUCCACAUCUGGAUGCAGUACUGCAGGUGAAGCCUCACCAGCACAGAGCAGAGGGGCAGGAUCACUCCCUCACCCUGCUGACCACAUUGCUUUGGAUGUAGCCCAGGAUAAGGUUGGCUUUCUAUGUGAGGGAACAUUGCUGUUUAUGUCCAGUUUCUAUCCACCAGUUCCCCCCGAUCCUUUUUGGCAGGGUUUUGCUCUGUUCUUCCAUCCCCCAGCCUGUACCGAUAGCAGGGUUUGCCAUGACCCAGGUGCAAGACCUUGCACUUGGCUUUUCCUAAUGUGUUUUUUUUAUGUGGCAGCAGCAUCCAAUGAUGUUUGCACAAGUGGGUCUUCAUGUGGUACCACAAAAGCAUCUCCUCCUCAUUUGUUCCUUCUCCCCCCAAAGUGCCAGGACAAUCAUUGGUGGUAUUCAGGCUGCGAGCUUCCUGUCUAAUAAUACACAGGAUUAUCACCAAUGUGCAAAUGCAGUUGUUUUUGUUGAAACAGGUAUUCUCUAGUGAAUUUUCAUUUUCUAAAAUAGAAGAGCAGUAUAAGUUGGCAGUAAAAGGGAAUUUCUAAUAUUUAGUAGAAUCAAUUGUUCAUCUUUAUAUAUAUAUAAAAAAAUCAAAUAUUUUUGACAGAAAUAUGAAAUGAAGAUAUCCAAGGUAGGAAUUUUGCUGUUGAAGAUAUUCUCUCACUUUGUGGAUGUGUCCUAUCUCUCAUUUUCAGCUUUAGCUUGCUUGAUGCCUAUCUCUUGCUGUUCAGUGACUGGGGCCCCUCGUGUGUGCAGUCAGUGCUGGAGCUUCUUUCCUGCAUCAGAACUCCCAGGCCAGGUCAGUGCUCAGUCUGAUUUGUGUUCUGCUGCACAGAGGUUCCCAGAUUUUACUUGAUGCUACGGGUGCUUUAUUUUGCAGUAGCUUCCUACCUGCAUUUUUGUAAGCAUCUCCCUUUCCUAGUUGUGUGGUCAGUGCAGUGGUAUGCUGGCAGGAAAGUUCUAUGGCAAGGUGUGAAUUUAACUUUUUUUUUUUUUUUUUUUAACAGGUAUGUAAGAGUAAACUAGGUUUUCUGGAGUACCUUUUACUUUAAGAAUUAGUAGAUCAAGUCAGAUGGUUGCAACAUUAUGUGCAGCAGUGGUUAUGUUAUUAACAGCUGAUUUGGGAAGGCAUAUGAGUAAUACCUUGACAAGUUUAAGUUCCAUUUUAGAACAGUUUUAAAGGUCGUCAGUGUAUUUCUUAAAACACUCAAAAUGCCUUUCAAUUAGGCACAAGAAUAAGGUUAUCAAAGCUGCUGCAGUCUGCAGCCAGUCCUUCUCUUUUGUGCAUCCCGCUGCUCUUUGUCUUGUGGUUGUUAACAUUUAAAGAGCAUGUUUAUGGGUUUCAGUAGCCUCUGCAAUCAACAGAAAUUGCUCUGAAAUCCUAAUAAAUGAAUCAAAGAAAGAUCUUCAGUUCUCUUUCCACUAUUUAAACUUAAUUUUAAUUAUGCUGUAUUAAUAUCUGAAGUUAUUUAUUACCUGCUAAUAGAAAUACUUAAAAUCUUAAAGUAUGAUUUUUUUUUCCUGUUUAAUUAGCUUGGCAGAGUUCAUGCAUAACUGUGCAGUGUAAAUAAACUGUUACUGUAUUUCAUGUUUCAGAGCAGAGGGGCAUUGCUGAAUUAAUAUACAUUUCUUUUGUUACUGUGUUGUUGGGUAAUUGUGCUUUAUAAUAUAUUUCAACUUUUUACAUUUAAAUUGUCUCUGUGUUGUUGCUUGUUUUGUUGUUGUUCUUAUGUUGUUAUUAUUAUUUUUUUACUAGCACUGUUAUGCCAUAUUAAAUUGCAUCUUCUUGCAUGAAAAAAGGUGUAAAAUAGAAUGCAGAUACGAAAUGGAGAUCUUUAUCAGAGUAAAAAUAGAAGAACGAAAUAAAACCAUGACACUAAAGCAGAGGUUCCCAAACUUAUUGUACUGAAGUUUGGUCAUUGAUAUGGAUGGGAGGGGACUGUUGAUCCCAGUGGUGUUCAUUUUUCUAUCCUAUGUUCCUCAAUCUAUGACACAUUUCUGAAGGCAGAACUCAGCUCUGUGCUUCCUCAGAAGCCUCACUUACUAGUUUAUCACCCCUGCUUCACUCCGUCCUGUUCCUGCAGACCACCAUCUACUUGUGUGUGGCAAGCCCAGUUCCAAAAUUGCUCUCAAAGCAGUAUCUGCUUACAAAAUGUUAACUGUUGAAGUGUGAUGAUGUUCACAGGCCUAGCUGGAAGGUAUUGUGAUACACCAUAGCUAGAAACAAAGUGUGGCAAAUAGCUGGUCUUACAAAUCCUUCUUCAGAUAAGUAGUGCCCUCAAAGGCCAUUGAAUGCAUUUCAUUAAGGAUUACAUGUGAUUAGUGGUCUGUAAGGUCAAGAGUAUAACCUGUCAUUAAUGAGUAUUCAUAUAUUAACGCUGCUUUGAACAGGAAGUUCAACUAGAUUGCCUCUGAGGUCAGUUGCAAUGAGAAUGUUGUGAUUAUCACACUUGUAUUGUGCAAAUAGAUAUUUAAUUUAUAAAACGACGAUUAAAUAAGCUAAGCCCUAUCAGAUGCUGCAAUUAGUUUUACUUAUUCUGUCAUAUUGUAGUAUGGAGAUAAAACUUGAGUCAAAUUUGUAAGAUUUAAAACAGUUUAAAAAAAAAAAAAAAAAAAGACUUUUUUAUGUAUAUAAUUGAAUUCCUUGUAUAUAGUUCUGUAUUCUUAGCAUACAAUUGAUUUGGUUGUGGUUCUGGAGCUAGUCAGAGUAUAGUGCCAGCAAAUGCAAUGCUCUUAAUUGCAGCUGAACUGUGUCAAUGGGCUCAAGUUGACUCUGGCUAUUUCAGGUACUUUUGGCACUGAGGCUGUUGUACAAAGCCAUCGGUGCAGAUCAGCAGUCUGAGAAAGAAAGGUUUGAGGCCCCAAAAACUUCCAAAGCAAAGACUCUGCAUGUGAGAAGGAAUUCCUAUAUUCAAAAACUAUCAAACAAACAACGUUCUGUGUUUACAUUCUGAGUAUACAUAGAUGUUACCACAGCUGGUUGAGUUGAAUAAACAAUGUGCUGAAUGAGUUUCAAGAUGGAUGCUUUUUCAUUAUUUAAGAAAUUGAAUUUGACUGAUGGUAGUAUGGUCCUUCUCAUUAAGAUGUAUGCAGAACUCAUACAGAUUUCCUUCCUGCUUUUGGAUAACAUGUAUACCUACCGAUACUUCUUUCACUGUUACCAUUUAGUAUUGUAAAUUAAUUAUUUUAAUCAUAGAAUCAAGGUUGGAAAAGAUCACUAAGAUCUUGGGUCCAGCUGUUGACCCAUCACUGUUGACCAUACCCACCGAACCUUGUCCCUCAGUGCCACGUCUACCCUUUAUCUAAAAAGUUGGUGAUAAGUGAGGAAGUCUCCAAAUGGCUCACUGCAAAAAGCCAAAUCACUUUCUCAUUCACGUGACUGGAAAUAUUUUUGUACAAUGUUUGACCCUUCCAAAUAUAUUAAAUAUCCACAUGUGAUUGUUGUCCUGCCUUACUGCAGUGUAUUUCGGGGAAGUACUUGGUCGCUUCUCUGUUUUUAUUUAAAAAAAGGGUCUAAGAUAUCAGCUGAUGUAAGUAGUGUAGUAAGGGCUGGAUAGGUCUCCUGGUCUAUAGGAAUUAUAGAAAGAAAUUAAAAAAAAAAUAAAAAGUGCUAUGAAGGAGCUGAGUGAAUUCUUUACGUUACUCUUUGCUACAGAGAAUGUUGUGAACAUUCUGUUCUUUUCAGACAAUGUAGAUGGGACAUUAUCUGAUUAUUGAAUUAGAGAAUCAAAAAAUUGAAUGCUCAAAUUCUCAAGACCCCUCAGUCACAAGGACUACAUGCAGUUCCUCCUGUGGUUCUAGAGAAUGAAGUGGCUGAGCUGCUAAGAAUGCCUCCGCUUAGGAAGUGAUGCUGUGCCAGAAGACUGAGAGCUGUCAGUUGGUGUAUGUGCUGCACUUCUAAACUGAACGUAUCUGGAAUUUGCAGACCAAGGAUUCAUAUUUUAAUGCCAAGCUAACUGAUGUAAAUACUGAAGUACUUGAAUACAGUCAAGCAGUUCUGUGAGAACACAGGUCUAAUAGAGCCUAGUUUGCUACAUAGCCAUAUGCCUUAGAGGUACCAGCUGCUGCUGGGAUGUUUAUAAGCUGUUUCUAUUAUGUCUGUAUUAGUGUUUUAAUAAUGUGGGUACAUGCUGCAGCCUUUAGUCGGUUUGUGCAGUUUGUGGCUCUAUCUUUUCUAUUCACCUGUCCAGUGCUUGGAAUUCUGACAUCUCUGAAUGCAUACAAAACUGGAAAUGCUUUUUGCUUGCACUUUCACAAAACUGAAAUCAGGUAGUGGACUUAGAAGUUAUGAAGGGUCUCACAGAACCUAGGUAGGCACAUUAAACAACAUUUGUCUCAUCUGUCUUUGUCUGUCUGAACAGAGAAGCAGCAGGAAGGUCAUCUGUUUGGCACUUCUAACCAAAACAGGGGUUCGUCAAGUUAUGCCUCAAGAGUCUGUAGUAGAAGUGUUUACUUUUGUCUUUAAAUAAGCAUCCAAAGUAAAAUUCUAUAUACAUUUGGUAAAAUUAGAGAAAGUUGUGAGGAACUGGCGGACAGCCUUCUAAAGGAUGCAUUAGCAUAAUAAUGGUAGAUGUCAUUCAGUAUUUGCAGUUACAAAAUAACUCUUAGUGGAAGGAAUAACUGAACUACCUAAAGAGAUUUCUAAAUUACAAGUAAAUGUUGCAAAAAUGCAUUUAAGAUCCCAGGUGAAAAUAUCCUUAAUAAGUGUCCACUGUGAAAGAAGCAGCUUAAAAAUUUAUUUUAGUGAUGCUCCUUAGUAGCUUUUAAUGAAAGUUCCUUACUUAAUCAUCUCUGCUGAAAUGAACUGUCCAUCUGGUUUCAUUGCAAACGCCAUUGAUGUUUACUUUACUGAUCAGUGUGUUUACGUAUCCUCUGGGUGUUUUUAAAUGCUGUCGACAAAUAACAAGUUCUGACAAAUAAAGUCUUUGCAUCUUACAUAAUUAAAAUAAUACUGCUGUAUUUCUUGCUUUUGGAUUUAUUUUCUUUGGGUUAUCUCUAAAUGCUCAAUGGCAAUACAUUCAUUCUGCCAUUUUGGAGGAGCCUGUGCCACAGAAUAAUGAUCUGAAGAGAGCUAAUGUAUUUGCAAGGAAGAGUCCUCAUUUGUGCAAUAGUGUUGAUGCAGCUAAGAGGUGCCUUGCCAAGUUCAGCACAGCCUGCCAUACUUGAACGGAACCGUUUUUUCUUGGAAGAAUGAACAGAAUGCUGCAUCUAAAGAGUAAGAAGUUACAGAUUUACUUCCUUGCUUUCUUCAAAAACAGAAGGAUGCUUUUAAAGAUAAGGAUUUUGAAAUGAAGAAUAAAAAAGGAGAGUGUUUUAAGAAAAAGAGUUUGUAAUGGACCAAAUAAGCACGUAUGUUAUCUUUUAAAAAUAUUUAACACAAGUGAAGCUCCUGUAUGGCAAGCCUCAAGACCAAGAAAUCUACUAGAAAUUUUAAGGAAAUGUUCAGAUGUCCAAAUGCAAGUGAUUUAAAAGUAGUAACUUACUAUUACACUCUUCAAGAUGCUUUAUGUAAGUAAAUACUAUAAUGCAGUUAGUCUGAUCCAAAACUUCAUUGCAUUGGAAAAUUGCAAUCCCUAUGUACAGUAGACUACUGGUAGGUCUUUGAAGUGCUCUCUUAACUAUUUGUAUUGAGCUAAUUGUAUAAACAAGUCUUGUUUGUUUAACAAGAUUUUCUGGAGGAGUAAUGUACUUCUCUUGUGUUUAGGAUAAGUUGCUACAAUUGCAAGAAGUUUAAUUUUAUUUUCAACUUCUUUACUCUUGCUGAGGUUGAUCAACUAGCAAACAAAAGGUUUUAAGAACUUCUGUUUGCAAGAGUUUCAUUUGUAAGAUUAGAACAAGUUUACGUGAUUAAAAUUCAACAUUUGAUGAUUAUUUUUUUGUAUCUGAUAUACCUAUCAGCAACUUUGCAAGUUGGGAUAUGGUUGAUACAGUUCUCAUUCUGAACUAAGCACACACAGCUCAGCUUUGGUAAGCAGAGGUUAUACUGUAGGUAUUUAUCAAAAGAUUUCUGGGUGUUGGAGGUUUCUCUUUGUGUAAGAGGGAGAUAGGGAGACAAAAACAUGCCUUCAUGCUUUGUACAGUUUUCCUUGUUUAUGGAAACAUUAGGUAAAUUUUUUUUACUUGGACGUUGUAACUUAAGCUUGAAUAAAUCGCGGAAUUUCUAUCCUGCAUAUCUGCAUUUAUCUCGAGUCUGUUUUGAAAGUUACUGUAAUACAAAUCAUGAAUAAGCAAGAAAAUGUGUUGUUUUAUCAGGUGAUUCUGGUCUUUUAACUCAGUCAGCUAGGAGAUCCAAUCCUUAGAGACCUAAGGGUGACCUGCAUGUAAAACUAAUAAAUAAGGAAGACCACGCCAUUUGCUCCUUUUAAGGAAUACUUGUCGAAGUAACUAAACUUUGUCCCUUUAGAAGCAAAAGGGCUGUUUGUGGGUUUGGGUUUUUUUCAUAGCAUAGCCUGUAUUUGCAGAUGUUUAAAAUAACCAAAUAAACUAGAUAAUGAUGGAAAUAAUAUUGUGUGACAGAACUAAAGGGAUUUUGUUGAAUAACUACUACCUGUUGCUGUCAUUGACAGGCAGAGAUAACAGUGGUCAUUUCUGAUGCUGUGGUCUGGCUGAGGAAGAGUGAUUGCUUUAUGUAUUUUUCAAAGAAGAGUGCAUGCUUACUCAGGAUCCAGUGUUUGUUCCAAAAUUCAACAAUAUUGCAGCAUUUUUAUUUCCAAAAAAAGUUAGUUAAAUGUGGUAAAGUAUUAUGAAAAGAAUAGUGGCACCUUAGUGGCACACGGAACACUCUUGUUAGCUGAACUUGACAGAAUCUGGCAGAAAUUCAAAGUGUGGUUUGUCUCUAGUAAUUCCAUUAACAUUUCAAAGGUUGAUAAUGUUCUGGGAAUUACACAACAGGGAUUAUUUUUUUAUGUUAAGAAUUAGUACUCUAAAGCUUUGCCUGCACUGGGAAUAUUGCAGCUAUCUUGCAAUAGGCGAAUGUACUCUAUUCAAGAUACUAAGUUCUCUAUCAGAUAUUUUGCUACUUUAUCUAUAUUGGCAUAAUUGAAAUAGCAGUGUUCUCUACGCCUAGUGUGAAUAGAGCUGUAUCAGUAUAAAACUAUAUAUUGGUUGCUUAUUUCCAAAUAGAAGGAACAACAUAGGAGGGCUGGCCCAAUUUCAGAAAAUGUUUUUAAUUAUAUUGCAGUUGCUACGCCUCUAUGAACUACACGAGUGAGACCUUAUACUAGAAGAAAAUGACUUCAUUCUAAUUCCUUUGCUCUUAUCCACAGGGCUCCAUAAAAGGUUGCAUCCUUUAGUUUUGUAUGUUCAGUUUGUCUUUGUGGCAAACUUGUGUGUUAAACACAUGUGCUUAUAUUCUAGAAAGCAUAGAUGAUGAGUGGUUUGAUAAUAACAAUGCGUCUUCAUCUCUGAAACAACCCUACUAGUCUACUCAGUUUAUACUGAAACAGUUUAAUGUGAAUGGUUAGAAUUUUCCAUCUGGCUGUGUGUACCAGAGCCUGCAGAUCAUCUGCCCUUCUGAAUCCUAGCUUUACUCUUGUUUGGUAUGGAACAAAAUGUUUUAUGUAUCCUGACCAAACUUUCACUGCUGUUUUAUAGAUCAGUGUCUUGUCUUGCUUUUCUGAUGUGCAAAAUGAAGCUUGUCCAAUAUGUGUUACCCCAAAAAGAAUUAAGAUAAUUGAAGUCAGAAUAUCUGAACUUGGAUCACUUGCAAUAAGGAUGAUCUGCAUGCACAUAUUCUGUAAAGAUAAUGGAUAACAGAUCCAGAUGAUUCCUGAUUUAAAGCUACAGACGAGGGAGUAAUCCUGAUUCCCAUAUUAAGAGGAGGGGAAUUUCAUAAUGAGGAGAAGACUGAGAAUGUGUGAAACCUUUCUGCUCUGAGACUGGAAGUACUGAAGAAUGGACAUGAGUCAGAGACAGGGACAGAAAGAGCACAAAGCCUGAGGGACCUUUGACCAUCCAGAGAACACUCACCAGGUUUAACUAGCUGUUCUCUGUCCGAUGCUCACUGACUGUUCCACUCUUUCUGCCUCUUCUGCUUCAAUCUUGUUUACACUGUGUGCUUUUUUUCCCCCAAUCUGCCCUCCUUGGUGCCUUUUAAAGUUCUUUGUUUGGCUGACUUUUUUUUUUUUUGUCUUCUUUUUUUUUGUUUGUUUGUUUUAAUGGGAGACUUUUAACUGUCCUGUUUUCAUGCACUCUCUGACAAAUCAGAACUUCAGUUUUCAUAAGUUUUCAAGUAUGAUGUGUGUUUCUUUGUCCUGCUUUUUGUAAGGAAUCACUUGAAGGCAAAUGAGUGCCCUUAACGAGAAGAGAUGAUGUGUAUGAGAUUUAAUGGGAUAAGGGAAGCAUUGCUCCUACAGAUUUUCUGUAGGUGAACUAGAGAUUUAAAAGAGCAGAUGUUGAAACAUCUAUGCAUCCUUCUAUUCAGAAAAAAAAUUCUAUAACUUUAUUUUAUUACAGUCUGACAUACCGUAUGAUGAACGUUUCAGGAUGGAUAUUAUGUUGACUAUGUUUGCAUUGUGCAUGCAGUUGUUGGCAAUUUUGUUUGUUUGUUUUCCCUACUCCACAGCUCUUAAAUUCUCUUUCUAGAGGUAGAUGUAGGUUGCUUCUGUUCUGAAGCUUCAGUGCAAAGCCAACACAGCACUAAUGAUGGAUGUGAAUGGACAUCUUAAGGAUAACUGGAUAUGGCAUCUUCAGUAACAGUGGCGUUUUGGUAAGAAUCUGCAUAUAAAUUAUGAAAUAAUACAUGAUGGUUUUCUGUAAAAUGUAUUUAUAUCUGUCUGAAAAUUUGUCCAAUCUCUUAAUGGAAAUGUUUCUUCUACCAUGUGAUAAGUUGGAGGAUUGCUCUAUAUUGUGCAGCACUUGAAAGUCUAAAAAUGUACACAAUUUUACUAAGCAGUGACUUCUUGCAUAUGAAACAGUAAGUUUUUAGAUGACCGAGGGUUUUUAAAGUAUUAAUUAGUGACUAUUUAUGGUUCUCUGCUUCUGAGCCUAUUUCUCUGAGUAUUUACAACUGGAUAUUUUGAACUGUCACUAAACAAACAACACAAAUACUUUUAUUAUACACAGACUAAAUGUUAUAAUUGACCUCCAGUGGCAUGUUUUACCACUAUGUGUGCAACUUUCUAACAGGCAGUGAAUGAAACAACCCAAUUUUGUGGAAGAUAUGCAACAUUUAUGAUUUU